ACACUGCUGAGGAGUCUCACCAUAGGACGAUAUAGCCGUCCAGUGU
rnacentral:hammerhead_ribozyme from 1 species